UAUGGCGGCGAUAGAAUACAGUGACGUCACAUGAAACCCAUGUAUAUAGAUGGAUAUAGAAAUAAUACAUAAAAUGGCUUCUGGUAGUUUAAAUUAGAAUUUUGACAGUUGGAGUUUCAACAGUUCUGCCUCAUUCGAACUUUCCGUCCAUAUAAGUCUGUUGUUUAUUUGUUUAUUUGUUUAUUUAUUUAUUUAUCUAUCCCCCUCAGAGUUUUAAUAGUCAUUUUUAGGAAAAGAUCACAUUAAGCAGAGUUUGGUGAUUCCAGCUUCAAAGCUCAAGGAGUUCAAGUCAGAAUUUUAGUCUCAGAAUACAUUUAAAUAGCGCUAGUAAGUUGUUUUUCUCAAGCUAACUUAAUUACAUUUUACUAUAAUUGGAAUAGCUUAAUAUUUCUGUUUUAAUGCGUUUUUGAUCAUUUUCUAACUAUCUACAUCCAUUGAUCAUGUGUGAAAACAUUUAAAUCUAAUAUGUUCACUUAGAAAUCAAAACCAAUAAAUGUUCAAACUUGCAUUUCUCACUUCAUGUGUGUGAUGUUUUGCAUGUUGUGUGCGUGUUUGUGUAGAAUUUAUAGAAAAGGAGUUUUAUGUGAAUUGUAAGCAGCUGUAAACACUCAAAAGACACGCUCUUGUCGCCAUCUAGUGGCGUUUUCCCUCCGUUUCCGAACACACUGGUAAAAAUUAAUAUUUCUCAACAAAAAUAUGAAUCUGUGUCCCUCACGAAUGGCCAUAUCGUCUGCUGUUAUACGAAUAAUGAAUUAGCAAUGACAUUUAAACCAUUUUCAAAGACCAUGACAUUAUUUGAGGAACGAUAUACUCGGCGCUUUUUUGUUGAUACUCAUAUGUUUUUAAAGUUUUGUUCACUGCCAUCAUAUAGACGGACGCGAGCAGGACAUUUAAAAUAUCUCCUCUAGUGGCCAGAAAAAGAGAGUCAACAGUAAUGACUAGGCUAGUACCACUCUUGUCCACGAGGGGGAGCUGCACACCGCGUCCUAACCAUAGACUGUCCUAACCAGACGCGAGUACGGCUGAGAGAUUCCAAACUCUUUAAUUAUAUUUUGUUAAACUUCUUAAAAAUAUCUAAUCUAUCAGAUCAUUUCAACCAAAGACACAGAAAAAUAUAAAUAUUUUUAACGGCUAUUUGUUCGUUUUAAGGAAAUGACGUCUUUGUUCCGGUUUCCGGUUAGGUGUCGAGCUCGAGCGCGUUCAAAACAUCGGCGGGAGGCGCUUGAUGCGCAGGCGUGAUAAUAUAAUCCUGCUAUUAAAAGAAUAUAAAUAUAAAGUUUCAGUGAGGCCAGUGUUGCUCAGUGGUUUAAUGCUCCCUCUGGCGGGUUAUUAAAGUGUUAUUAAAGUCCCGAAACCCGCAGCAGUGAAGCGGGAAGAUGAGCAGCUCACAUGUUCCGGUUCUGGAAAGUCCAGACUGCAGAAAGGCUUAAAACACUGUUUCAGGGAACGAUAACAUGCUCCUGCAGACACCAGUGGUUUACAGGUGGAAGAGAAUUAAUGUCACCGUUAUAAACACUAAAGAGACGUCUCUACUGUCUCUGAGAAACAGGAACCUGCUGGAUCUUAUCAGGCCCCUGGGAGCCUUGAGAGAAUGAGAGAAAUCAGGGAAUUGGGAUCGUUCAGGGGCGGGCUAAGCAAUAUUUAAAUAUUUCAAUGUAAAAUAAAAUAUUUUAAAACAUAUCAACAUCAUAUAAUAGUUUUGUAUCAUUCAAAAUGAUAUUUCUUAAAGCACUCGGUAAAAUUCAAUAAAAUGUCUUGUUUAUACCAUCUA